rnacentral:lncRNA from 1 species
GUUGCCCACCACCAGCUUCAGAGCUUUUGUAGUUGAUGGUUGUGGUAAUUUUGGAGCCCUUCCUAAGUGCAUGGCCAGCAUCACCUCCCUUCGACAAUUAAGAGUGUACAACUGUUCGGCUGACAUAUCAUUUCCAUCAGAGGGAUUCCCUGCCAAUCUCACAUCACUUGCAAUAUCAAACGCACCCAAGAUUUACAGGUCACUUAUGGAAUGGGGAUUAAAUAGACUCACCUUUCUUCAACAAUUGACCAUCGGAGGUGGAGGAUGCUCAAACGUGGUGUCGUUCCCAGAAGAAGGGACUGGAAUGAUGCUGCCUCCUUCUCUCACCCGUAUCUUCCUUUUAGAAUUUGAGAACCUGGAAUACAUGUCAUCCAAGGGCU